rnacentral:rRNA from 1 species
AUAGAACGCUGGCGGCAGGCCUAACACAUGCAAGUCGAACGGCAGCGGGGAGUAGCUUGCUACUCUGCCGGCGAGUGGCGGACGGGUGAGUAAUGCCUGGGGAGCUGCCCAAUCGAGGGGGAUACCAGUUGGAAACGACUGCUAAUACCGCAUACGCCCUGAGGGGGAAAGGUGGGGAUCUUCGGACCUACCGCGAUUGGAUGCACCCAGGUGGGAUUAGCUAGUUGGGGAGGUAACGGCUCACCAAGGCGACGAUCUCUAGCUGGUCUGAGAGGAUGACCAGCCACACUGGAACUGAGACACGGUCCAGACUCCUACGGGAGGCAGCAGUGGGGAAUAUUGCACAAUGGGGGAAACCCUGAUGCAGCCAUGCCGCGUGUGUGAAGAAGGCCUUCGGGUUGUAAAGCACUUUCAGCGAGGAGGAAAGGGGUGAUGCUAAUACCAUCAUCCUGUGACGUUACUCGCAGAAGAAGCAUCGGCUAACUCCGUGCCAGCCGCCGCCGUAACAC